rnacentral:rRNA from 1 species
UGGGGAAUAUUGGACAAUGGAGGCAACUCUGAUCCAGCAAUUCUGUGUGUGUGAAGAAGGUUUUAGGACUGUAAAACACUUUUAGUAGGGAAGAAAAAAAUGACGGUACCUACAGAAGAAGCGACGGCUAAAUACGUGCCAGCAGCCGCGGUAAUACGUAUGUCGCGAGCGUUAUCCGGAUUCAUUGGGCGUAAAGCGCGCGUAGGCGGUUUGUUAGGUCAGGAGUUAAAUCUGGGGGCUCAACCCCUAUCCGCUCCUGAUACCGGCAGGCUUGAGUCUGGUAGGGGAAGGCGGAAUUCCAAGUGUAGCGGUGAAAUGCGCAGAUAUUUGGAAGAACACCGGUGGCGAAGGCGGCCUUCUGGGCCACGACUGACGCUGAGGCGCGAAAGCUAGGGGAGCGAACAGG